UGGACAAGGGCCCAUAUGCCGGGGAGCAAGAAGGGAACAAAAAGACACAUUGUGUUGGGUAACCAGGGUUACUCUGGGAAGUAUAAACAUUUGGCACUGCAGGGCCCUGCUGGAAGGCGCCUGCUGUGUGUGAGACAGGUUGCUUCUGAGGGCCAGUAUCUCAGGGCACUUUGCCAUUCAGUGUCUGAUUCAUGCACAGAGCGCUUGGAAGCUUCCCCUUUACAUUAAAGGUUCUUGGACAGAAGAGAAAGCCACUCUUCCACAAGAUGCAACGAGACUACAACCGUGCUGCUAGUGACAGCCCUGAGAAAGCCUGGCCCUGGCAACACCCAGACCCUGCCUCCCUUUCCAGGAAAGCAGUCUGGAGACUACUCAGAAUGCCUGGACUAGAUCUACCUGUAGCCCAGUAAUCCCUCUCUCGGAGGAGCAUGCAAAGGGAGCAAACACACACACCCAAGAGACUUAUGUGCCCCUACGUUCAUGGCAGCACAAUCUGUAAUCGCCCAAACUUGGAAGCAGCACAGGUGCCCAAUCAAAGUCAGGUUAUUAUUUUUUUUCUACUUUAUUUGAUAGGAUAGAGAGAAAUGGAGAGGAGAGAAAGGGGAUAGGAGAGAAAGGGGAGAGGAGAGAAAGAGGGAGGGAGAUAGACACGUGCGCACCUGCGUCAUCCUGCAGGUGGAAAGUGGGUCUUGAGGGUGGGCUCUUGCACGUCACGAUGCACUCAGCCGGGUGUGCCAUGCUGCAGCCACUAAAAGCCAGGUGUUUUUUUUUUCUCUUGCCUCCAGGGUUAUCGUUGGGGCUCCAGUUCCAGCACCACGAAUCCACUACUCCUGGAGGCUAUUUUUUUUUCUUUUUGUUGCCCUUGUUGUUUUACUGUUGUUGUGGUUAUUAUUAUUGCUGUUAUUCAUGUCGUCAUUGUUGGACAGGACAGAGAGAAAUGGAGAGAGGAGGGGAAGACAGGGGGAGAGAAAGACAGACACCUGCAGACAUGCUUCACUGCUUGUGAAGGGACUCUCCCCCUGCAGGUGGGGAGCUGGGGGCUCGAACCAGGAUUCUUAGUCUGGUCCUUGCACUUUGUGCCAUGUGCGCUUAACCCGCUGCACUAACACCUGGCCCAAAAGUCAGUCUUUUAAAUAGAACUAAAGUUAUGCCUUAUUCGCCAGUUGUCUUUGUGUGAUGUUUUGCUUCUCACUCUAGCAGAAAACUCUAAAGAACAGUCCUCCCUCCUUUCUUCUCAAAGAGGCCAAUCAAGUCUUUUUGUCUCUACAUAUAUGACCAGGCCAUAGUGGUUCCAAUGCAGAGAAGGACUGUAAGAGAUUCAGAAUCAGCCUGAAGGCAUGUCCACCUGAAAGGCAGACCACAGUCUCCAAGAGGAAAAAGGGCAUCAAGUCCAAGAGUUGAUGCGUUUUGGUGAUAGUAUAAGCUGGCCUCCAGCUCUUUCAUCUUCUCCUGAAAGUCUCAGACAAAAAAGAAGAAAGAGUUGAGGGAGCCAGGCGGUAGCGCAGUGGGUUAAGCUCACGUGGCACGAAGCACAAGGACCAGCACAAGGAUCCCGGUUCAAACCCCGGCUCCCCACCUGCAGGGAAGUCGCUUCACAGGCGGUGAAGCAGGUCUGUAGGUGUCUGUCUUUCUCUCCCCCUCUCUGUCUUCCCCUCCUCUCUCCAUUUCUCUCUGUCCUAUCCAACAAGAACGACAUCAAUAACAACAACAAUAAUAACUACAAUAACAAUAAAAAGACAAUCAGGGCAACAAAAGGGAAAAUAAAUA